rnacentral:rRNA from 1 species
UUGGACAAUGGGCGAAAGCCUGAUCCAGCCAUGCCGCGUGAGUGAAGAAGGCCUUCGGGUUGUAAAGCUCUUUUAGUCGGAAAGAAAGAGUUGCAAUGAAUAAUUGUGAUUUAUGACGGUACCGACAGAAAAAGCACCGGCUAACGACGUGCCAGCAGCCGCGGUAAUACGUAGGGUGCGAACGUUAAUCGGAAAUACUGGGCCGAAAGGGUCCGCAGGCGGUCUUGCAAGUCAGAUGUGAAAGCCCCGGGCUUAACCUGGGAAUGUCGUUGGAAACUACUAGACUAGAGUGCAGCAGAGNGGAGUGGAAUUCCAUGUGUAGCAGUGAAAUGCGUAGAGAUGUGGAAGAACCCCGAUGGCGAAGGCAGCUCCCUGGGUUGACACUGACGCUGAUGCACGAAAGCGUGGGGAG